GAUGAGCGCUAGCGGCAGGCCUAAUACAUGCAAGUCGAGGGGUAUGGGUUGCUUGCAACCCAGAGACCGGCGCACGGGUGCGUAACGCGUAUGCAAUCUACCUUAAUCAGGGGGAUAGCCCGGAGAAAUCCGGAUUAACACCGCAUAACAUUGAGUUGUGGCAUCACAGUUCAAUCAAAUAUUUAUAGGAUUAAGAUGAGCAUGCGUGACAUUAGUUAGUUGGUGAGGUAACGGCUCACCAAGACCACGAUGUCUAGGGGAUCUGAGAGGAUGACCCCCCACACUGGUACUGAGACACGGACCAGACUCCUACGGGAGGCAGCAGUAAGGAAUAUUGAUCAAUGGGCGCAAGCCUGAACCAGCCAUGCCGCGUGCAGGAAGACGGCCCUAUGGGUUGUAAACUGCUUUUGUACCGGAAUAAACCUUCUCUUGCGAGAGAAGCUGAACGUACGGUAAGAAUAAGGAUCGGCUAACUCCGUG
rnacentral:rRNA from 1 species